rnacentral:sRNA from 1 species
ACAGAGAUGGCAGGGCAGCGGCAGCAACAGUGCAAGCUUCUCACAACUGCCCUGCCAAUGUGCUUCAGCCCUCUUCUGGAGAGACAGAGCAAAAGGAGCUUUCUCUCUGGC